AUGACGGUAAAUAAGAGUCAAGGGCAGUCGCUAAAACAUGUGGGGUUAUAUUUACCAAAGUAGGUGUUCACACAUGGCCACCUAUAUGUAGCGGUAUCAAGAGUCACAAGUAGAGAUGGACUUAAAGUUCUAAUUUCAAAUGAAGAAUAUAAGGAAAAUAAUUCGGGAAAAAAUAUUGUGUACAAGGAGAUCAUUUAG
rnacentral:rRNA from 1 species